CCCCGGCUCCCGCCGCCGCGUCCGCCGCUCCCCGCAGCUGCCGGGACAGGGGUGCCCGCUCCGGGGCUGCGGGGAGAGCGCCCUGCCGCCCCGCUCACCUUCCCGCGGCCGCGCGGUGGUCACAGCAGGGGUCCCCUUCGGGAGCGGUGGGUGUCCCGGUGCUGCCCCUCGCUCGGCUCUCAGCAACCCUCUCGAGCAUCCCUGACGUGAGUCACGGCUGUGCUCGUCCUGCGUGAACCGGACUCGCUGAAGGGCAAAAUUCAAGAUCUCCCCAGGCGUAAAUUUGUUGUCUCACGAGCAGGGGUACCCAGGGUUGUCACUUCCUAUCAUGUCGUGCUUUUACUUGGUCCCACCUACACCACUUCUCCAUCUUUUCUCUGCUUUUCCUAGUGUUCAUUUGGGUUUUUUUCCUAACACCUAUGUUGGUAGAAAGUUGCAAUUUUGGUUUGUGUUUUUUGUUCUUUUUUAUUCUCAUUAAUUCACAAAUAAUGACAAGGGACAUUUCAAAAACCCCUGGUUCCUGUCUUGUGAGGAGCGUGAAGAACAGCAGGAAGAUGGUUGUGUGGAAGGAAAGUAAGAGAGGUCACCUCACUGUUCUGAUGACACAGGAAGAGUAAGUCCUUCUUUCCCCUCUGUGGCUGAUAUACUGGGAUCACCUUGUUGCCCUACAGCUCCCCCAGGGCAAUCACAUACAGUGAAAGCUGAGAAGCAUUUGCUGUGCUCUGCCUGAUGAGUUGCACUUGUUCUUCAUCCAUUUCUACUGGGCUGACAUUUCUGUUAUUACUUCUUCAGCCUACUCUGAGUUCACAAUAGUAACUGAGAAGUCCUCAGACAAGCAGAUGGGAAAAUGGCCUGGAAGUCUUUAUUGUUAUAAACCUUUUGUAAAACUUUAGAUGUUGAAAGGAAGCAGGAAGAUGCUUUACCCAGAGUUUCCAGGACCUGGGGAAGACUUCUGUAGGAAUCCAGUGCAAAAGGACUAUACCAACCCUCCAGACAGUAGCUGGAAUUCCUGGUAACAUGCAAGAUUUGCAGCAGGCCACGGAUAAUGGUCAUGGAGUGCUUGAAGGGCGUUUGCCUUCCCUCUUCACAAAGUGAAGGGACUGAGCAGAACGUUUCAAGAAGGAGCAGAUGGAAACAGCUGCCAACAGAUGAGUACUGGAAUGGAUUCAAGGCACACUACUUGCUGGAACUUGAGAGUUUGUGAUGGCCUGAGCUUCCCCAACCACAGGGAAAUCAAUGGGAGACCUUUACAAAGUUGAACUUUGAUGAAGAUGCUGAGUGGCCAGUCCUGCCUCGGAGUCCUCUCCAAUCCGUGGGAGCCUGGGCUGCUCCACAGAAUGGUCCUGCACCUCGACAUUGAUUUAUCAUCCACCAUGACCACAAGCUCAUGGAUGAGGAAGGAAUACCCAUGGCUGCUACCAUCCCUGCCCCUCUGGCUUCAGAUAAAUCAGCAAGCUCAGAGCAUGACUGCCCCAGGAAGAAGAAGCAACUGCAUUGCUCUGUUCAAUACAUGGCAGCUUGCUCCUCUCCUCUCCUCUCCGCAGAACAUUGAUCUUCAAGGCCAUACAUGAUUAAAGGAGUGGGAGAUGUUCCCUGGAAUUAGCUGUUCCCUUUUCUUUUUCCUGCUUAAGAGGUAAGAGCUGCAUAAACUCCCUUUUUAAUAGUCACCUAACAGAGAAUACAAUGACUAAUCUGUCAUCAAAGUAUUUAGGGAUGAUGACAAUACCUAGAUUGAUUUUCAGUGUGUUUUUUGUUUUCAUUUCACUGUGAUGUUUAUACAAAAUCCAUAAAUCAUAGGCAUGUGAUAAGAAACAGGUUGUAGUUGCUGGUUAUUCUUGUCCAGAUGCACAGAAAUGCCCUGAUGGUUACUUUCCAAUGACAACCAGCUCAGGGCUUAACAUUUUUCAGUUGCACAGCCAGCUUUCAAGGUUACACAUAGAUACUGAAUGAAACAGAGCCCACUGGUUAUUUUUAGAGAGGCUCUAAACAAGAAGUAAAUCCCUGGAGUGAUGCUGCCAGAGAUGCAUAAAGUUCAAACCCAAAUUAAAACUGCCUAUCUUUGGCCUAAAUUCCAACUUGAACUUGAGGAAAACUGUGAACUGUAACUUGAACUUUAUGACAAGAACUCCUUUGCAAUUAGUUUCUGAUAUCUGAGAAUACAUGAACAUGGUACAAACACUUGAAAAAUAAAACUUGAAUGAAAAAUGUGAA